GGGGUUGUGGCUCAGAGGUAGAGUGCUCACCCAACACGUGGAAGGCACUGGGUUCGAUUCUCAGCACCGCA
rnacentral:tRNA from 1 species